AGUGAACGCUGGCGGUAGGCCUAACACAUGCAAGUCGAACGGCAGCACAGUAAGAGCUUGCUCUUACGGGUGGCGAGUGGCGGACGGGUGAGGAAUACAUCGGAAUCUACUUUUUCGUGGGGGAUAACGUAGGGAAACUUACGCUAAUACCGCAUACGACCUACGGGUGAAAGCAGGGGAUCUUCGGACCUUGCGCGAUUGAAUGAGCCGAUGUCGGAUUAGCUAGUUGGCGGGGUAAAGGCCCACCAAGGCGACGAUCCGUAGCCGGUCUGAGAGGAUGAUCAGCCACACUGGAACAGCAACACGGUCCAGACUCCUACGGGAGGCAGCAGUGUGGAAUAUUGGACAAUGGGCGCAAUCCUGAUCCAGCCAUACCGCGUGGGUGAAGAAGGCCUUCGGGUUGUAAAGCCCUUUUGUUGGGAAAGAAAAGCAGCAGGUUAAUACCCCGCUGUUCUGACGGUACCCAAAGAAUAAGCACCGGCUAACUUCGUG
rnacentral:rRNA from 1 species